rnacentral:rRNA from 1 species
UACGGGGGGGGGCAAGCGUUGUUCGGAAUUACUGGGCGUAAAGGGCUCGUAGGCGGCCAACUAAGUCAUACGUGAAAUCCCUCGGCUUAACCGGGGAACUGCGUCUGAUACUGGAUGGCUUGAGUUCGGGAGAGGGAUGCGGAAUUCCAGGUGUAGCGGUGAAAUGCGUAGAUAUCUGGAGGAACACCGGUGGCGAAGGCGGCAUUCUGGACCGACAUUGACGCUGAGGAGCGAAAGCCAGGGGAGCAAAACGGGG